CAGUCGCCGCGGUAAUACGGAGGGUGCAAGCGUUAAUCGGAAUUACUGGGCGUAAAGCGCACGCAGGCGGUUUGUUAAGUCAGAUGUGAAAUCCCCGGGCUCAACCUGGGAACUGCAUUUGUGACUGGCAAGCUAGAGUCAGGCAGAGGGGGGUGGAAUUCCGCGUGUAGCAGUGAAAUGCGUAGAUAUGCGGAGGAACACCGAUGGCGAAGGCAGCCCCCUGGGCCAACACUGACGCUCAUGCACGAAAGCGUGGGGAGCAAGCAGGAUUAGAUACCCGUGUAGUCCCUGUCUCUUAUAC
rnacentral:rRNA from 1 species